GUGCCUGCUGGUCCGCCGGCCUUUCCUCCUUCCCCCAAAGGACUCAGCUCCCCUGAAGGUCACACAACCUUGUAUGGGGCUUAACUCAGCAUCAUGAGACUGUUCGCACAACGACCAGCAAACAUUUUCCUCCCAAGGGAAAGGGUGAAAUCGGAGAGCUGGAUGGGAAAGAUCUUAGACCAGGAUCGAACCUGGGUCCCCCUGCAGUGGGAACGCGGAGGCUUAACCACUAGACCGCCGGGAAGUCGCAAGACUGUGACUACCUUUGGGAGAAAUAACCUUCACGGAAGUUCAUUACAAAAAGAAGCUGUCACCAGUACUCCACUCCCCAACUGGACCCGUCCUUCAUAGCUCUGCCGCUGAAAUUCCAGCUGAUACCGGAACCAAGGAGCAAAGGGAGACAGACCUAUUCUUGAAUGUUGCUCCUCACAGACAGAAAAGAAGGAACAGAAAAUAAAAGAGUUUCUUUCCAAUAAAUAAGGACAUUGCCCCCAUUGCACCUCCACCCAGAAAUCUCCGGUU